rnacentral:rRNA from 1 species
UACGUAGGGGGCAAGCGUUGUCCGGAAUCAUUGGGCGUAAAGAGCGUGUGGGCGGCCCGGUAAGUCCGCUGUGAAAGUCGGGGGCUCAACCCUCGAAUGCCGGUGGAUACUGUCGGGCUAGAGUGCGGAAGAGGCGAGUGGAAUUCCUGGUGUAGCGGUGAAAUGCGCAGAUAUCAGGAGGAACACCGAUUGCGAAGGCAGCUCGCUGGGACGUAACUGACGCUGAGACGCGAAAGCGUGGGGAGCAAACAGG